ensembl:lncRNA
AACGUAUCAUUGCGGUGGAGACUGUGGAGCAGUUGGCCGCUCCAAGAGGUACGCUCCCCCGGUUUUUGAAAAAGAAGUAUCCCACACUCCCCGACAGCUCUGGUGGGCAGUUCCCUGGGCUAGCUUUGGCCCUCAGCCCUGCACCCCCCCCCCCCCAUGGGGGGGGGCAGGAACUUGCUCCUGGGGCUCAUCUCCCGGACCCCUCACCACACCCGCCCAAGAACCCUAGGUGAGUGUAUCCCGCUUAGCCACCUUUUCUGGUGGAUCCACUUCUAGACGUCCCACAGCAUUCUGGGCUUCAGAUCAGCUUUGGGAAAAGAGUAUUCCAAACAUGUCCUGUUCCUGGCAGACCCUUGUCUGCCUCAUCCGGCAGGCUGUCUUCAGAGGAAGCCGGCGCUUUCUGCAGACGGUUUUCAGAUACCCUGUAGCUCAUCCCCCAGUACGGAGGAGCAGACUGGCUCUUUGGCUCAUGGAGCAACAGGCUCAGCCCAGGAGGGGCAUCUGUGGUCCUGGGAAGCUACGGUCUGCAUUCAGGCCCGUUGAAGGCCAGCAAGGUGUUAUUCCUUUUGUCCCAAGGCCUGGGCCUCUACCUAGCAACCUCUGCAGGCAGCCCUCCAGAGAUAAACCUGACCCUUGCUCCCAGCCCUCCAGUGUGAGCUGGUUGAUUCGGCGAAAUGACAUCAGCAGCUACUGCAGCUGCAUUGGAGGGUUACCAGGGCUGCGAAGGAGGGGUCCAGCCUCAAUUCACACCAGGGCACAGCACAGGAGGCGCACUUACAGUCCUGGGAAGCUACGGUCUGCACUCAGGCCCGUUGAAGGCCAGCAAGGUGUUAUUCCUUUUGUCCCAAGGCCUGGGCCUCUACCUAGCAACCUCUGCAGGCAGCCCUCCAGAGAUAAACCUGACCCUUGCUCCCAGCCCUCCAGUGUGAGCUGGUUGAUUCGGCGAAAUGACAUCAGCAGCUACUGCAGCUGCAUUGGAGGGUUACCAGGGCUGCGAAGGAGGGGUCCAGCCUCAAUUCACACUAGGCCACUUCUGGGGCCCUCCAAAGAUCCAAGGGAGAAAGGCUUCCAGUAUUCAUGUUCAGGCCCACAAGUUCCCCCCGAACGCUGGGAACAAAGUGGCAGACGUGACAUCGAGGCAGGCAGAAACAAGGAGGAAUCGUGUGGCCACAGUGGAGGGUUCUGGGCGAGGUAAACGCAAGACUCCCCUUCUGAGGCCUAGGCAAGGGGUCCCUCUGCCCCUGCCACCAUCUCUCAAACUAUGCCAUGAGGUAACCCCUGAAGACAUAGCUCGGGAGAAGGAGGCCUCAUGGAGGCUCACGAACAAUAUUCUGAUGGGGAAGUCACAGGCCAAGGUCAGCAAGACCACCCCAGGGACUGCUCCUCCUGCUUUGCCUGGGCCUUCAGUAGGGGAGCGCUUUCCUCACAGGAAGGAAAAGAGGAAACUCACCCAGGGGGCCCACUGAGAAUGGGGAGGACCCGGGCCCUUUGAAUCCAAGGGCCGCUAAGAGCACAGCAGCCGGUGCCACAUCUCUCACAGCACCUCCUGGGUCCCUGCUCUCGUCCUCCUAAGCCCAAGGCUCUGCUCCCCAGUUAGGGGUCACCCCUACGGGUACAUCCGGGCCUGAUGACGGGGUCACCCCUAUGGAUACCACACCCACACCCUGAGCCUCUCCUCCUGGGGCCUCCCACUGGCUCCAGUGGGAACUCCUUCCCCUCUGCACAGGCUAUUGUGACUUGCCCAGUGGCAGCACAGCCACAGCCUCCACCCUGCCCACACUGAACCCCAGCCAUACAAGGGAACCAUUAAACCAGGCCACACAAGGGAAACAUCGCAUUGACUCUGCCUCUAGCAAGCCACCCACACCGGGGGCCAUUGAUAGGCACAGGCAGCAGCAUGGAGCAGCCACCUAGCCUAGUGGCCUCCAUUUCAAAGCCCUGGCAGCUCCAGCUCCAGGACUGGCCCCAGCCUCUACUCCAGCCUCGAGCAGCACAACACAGCCAGCCCUCGGGGGUUCCUUAUUCACAAAUAGGAGCCCAGGGAACCAUGACAGCUCCCAGGUGGUCUCUAAUGUCACCCAGGCUCUUUUCCCUCCUGGGACUUCCAUUGCCGCUGCCUCUGCCACAGCCACAUACCCACAUACCCAGGGCUAUGACUCAAAUCCAGCACAACGGACAGCACUUCUCAAAGGUGCCUGACCAAAGCUCAGGCUCAGCGAUGUUGGCAGCUUGAGCUACACCAGAGGGCUGUGGGAGGAAACAGAUGCCCCACGUUGUAACUGCCUUUGAGGCACUGAGCAGAUCUUUAAUGGGAAGAGGGAGCCCCAAGCACCACAGUGCACGCUGGGGGAUCCGGGAUCAUGACAAGCAAGGUUGCCUCAAACCACACGCGCAAGCUGGCCUCUAACCCUGGCCUCCUUGCCUCUCAUGAGGCCAGAGUUAGGGGGAAGCUGGCCUUUUAGGGUCACCUCAUCCUCUGUCUAGGCUUCUCACACACAGCUGCUGAAUGAGCCACCAAAUCAUCCUCCAGCAGCUCAGGACCUGCUCCUGUGGAGUUUAAGAGGCCAAAGCUGCCCUAAGAGAAUAGCCACUUCCUCCUAGAGGCUACCUGUGAGCCUUGUAUACAUGUCAACCACAAAUCCUGUGCUGACCUCAGUGAUCCUGGGGCACACUGGAGGUUCAGAAGAGCAUCAUCUGCCUCAUUCCAGCUGUCUUCCCGGCUCCUUUGCCCUCAAAGCUGGCUGGGAUUGCAGGUGUGUCCUACCAUUCCACCACCAUCUCCUCCUCCCUCCCCCUCCCCUCCCCCUCCC